rnacentral:lncRNA from 1 species
AAAAAUAGUCUAGUAUUUUUGCCUCAGUUUGAAUUUGACCAAUUUAUUUUAUCGUGUCACCAACUAGGAGAAACCGACAAUUGAUUACUAUAUAUUUUUCCAUAUUAGUUCUAUAUAAGCAUAGAGUAGAGUUUCAAAAGUAAAACAUCAUCACUUGUGAAAGUUAUAAUUAAGCAUGGGUUUGAGGGUUCCAGUUUCAGCUGCCAUUGUUUUAUUUCUGGGCAUGUUGGUUGCUGUUGCAACAACACAAUAUGGUGGCUCCUAUGAUGACUCUAGUUAUUCUUCUCCCUCAAAAAAUGCUGGCUUCACCAAUUCUUCUCCAGUAAUUAUGUUAGCAUUUGUUGCAUUCAUCAUUUCUUUCUUUGUUAUCAUCAAAGAAAGGAUUUGAUGAAUCUAGCAGAUUCAACUUAUAAAGUGUUUUAAUUACCUUGCUUUUAUUUUAAUCUUUUCUGUUGUAUGAAUCUAGCAGAUUCAACUUAUAAAGUGCUUUAAUUACUUUGCUUUCAUUUUAAUCUUUUCUGUUGUACUUUUGGUCCUUUUAUUUUUUU